UUUUUCUUUUAUUUCUCCUUCUGCUUUUGUCCAUCGCCUCUGGCGAUUUUGUGAGAUGAUUCUGAGGUCGAAUAGAAGAGAAACUUAGGGUAAACCUUAGUAAUUGAUUACUGGUGGUGUUGCUGAUGUUUUUGAGAUCGGGAGAAGAAGGAGUGAUGUUGUUGACUCAAAUUAAGGUUCUGUUCUUGAGUUGGAAGAGAGAUUAAGAGGAGUUUUGAGUUUAUUUUGGAUGAAGAUCGAAUGGGUUGGUGUUUAAUUGAAGUUCUGAAGCUGUUCUUAUGAAGAAUCAGAACCAGGGUUUGAUUUCAUUUUCUCAGUUAAUUGAAUUUGAAAUUAGGGUUUAGAGGAUUGAGCUGUUGAUAUAGAAUUGAAGAUGAAGUUGGUGUUUUGAGUAGAAGAGAUAUGAGGGUGAUUAUAGGUUAGGGUAAUAUUGAAUCACAGGGGUCAUGGAAUUGUUGGUGAUGGUGGUGGUUUAGUAAAGCAUAGGAUUUUUGGAAUUAGUGUUGAUACUAAAUUGGUUGCUGGUGUUGAAGGAAUUGAUUGCACUGAUUUAUGGUUAAGAUGAACUGAACGCAGGGAAGAAGUUCUUUUGGAGUAUAACUGUUGGUGGUUGUGGAGUUUGAGAUUGUGGUGCUGAAAUAGUUAAGCCGGGGUAUGGUGGUCUGGUGGUGGUAUGAAAUUGCAGUGAAGAACUGUGGAGAUGAAUCUGAAUUUGAUUGUAGGAUUGUAGUAACAACACUGGUGUAAGUAUAAUCUGGUGAUGUGAUAGUUAGAUGAAUGCGUAGGAUUGGUAGUUUUAUAGAGUUGCAGUUGAAGCUAUUGAAUUGUCAGGAACUCAACUGAUGUUGUUAUGAAGAGAAUGAAGUUAGAAUGAAGUUUGUCUUGUUGUUGUGAAAUUGAGAAGUUGUACCUGUAGGCUGUAUUACAAGUAAUGAAGAGGAGUUGGAUAGUGAAAUUGUAAAUGAUGCUGUUGAGAUUUAUAGAAGGUUGUAGUUCUGAGGGAGGUGGAGCUCUACUAGUGGUGUAAAACUGAUAUUGAUAAUGAUUGGAGUCUGAGUUUGCUGUGACUGAUGUGUAGAAGAUUUGAAUGAGUUAGGCUAUGUUUCAACUGAUAUGGUGGUGUUGUAAGAAUUUCUGAGUUUGUAUCUCAGAUAAUGUGAUGUGUGUUAGUUGGAUGUUGGAGAUGAACUUAGUGGUGGUGAUUGCUUGGGAAUGGAACUGCAAGUGAUGAUCCUGGACUAUGAAUGAAUUACAGGUGAAAAUGUCAGGUGGUCAUAUGAGUUGGUAGUAGUGUGGGUGUUGAGAGAUUGGAGUGAUUAUGUAAGCAAGCUUGCAGUUAGAGUUAGUGUAAGAUAGAACUAAGAAGUUGUUUCUACUAGAUUUAAUCUUAUGAAAUUUAUGUUUAUGGUUUUGAUUGUUUGA